UGGGGAAUUGUUCGCAAUGGGCGCAAGCCUGACGACGCAACGCCGCGUGGAGGAUGAAGACCUUCGGGUCGUAAACUCCUUUCGACCAAGAUGAACACCUCUAGAUUUAAAAGAUCGAGAGUCUGACAGUAUUGGGAGAAGAAGCCCCGGCUAACUCCGUGCCAGCAGCCGCGGUAAUACGGGGGGGGCAAGCGUUGUUCGGAAUUACUGGGCGUAAAGGGUUCGUAGGUGGCCAACUAAGUCAGACGUGAAAUCCCUCAGCUUAACUGGGGAACUGCGUCUGAUACUGGUUGGCUUGAGUGCAGGAGAGGAAUGCGGAAUUCCAGGUGUAGCGGUGAAAUGCGUAGAUAUCUGGAGGAACACCGGUGGCGAAGGCGGCAUUCUGGACUGCAACUGACACUGAAGAACGAAAGCCAGGGGAGCAAACGGGAUUAGAUACCCGCGUAGUCC
rnacentral:rRNA from 1 species